AUCAACCGAGAUUCCCCCAGUAGCGGCGAGCGAACGGGGAGCAGCCCAGAGUCAACAUCAAUACUUACCGCAGGAGAAGGGUCUGGAAAGGCCAGCAAUAAAGGGUGAUAGCCCCGUAUCUGAAACGGUAAGUAUUGUGAACUCGAAGAGUAGGGCGGGACACGUGUUAUCCUGUCUGAAUAUGGGGGGACCAUCCUCCAAGGCUAAAUACUCCUGACUGACCGAUAGUGAACCAGUACCGUGAGGAAAAGGCGAAAAGAACCCCGGCGAGGGGAGUGAAAUAGAACCUGAAACCGUGUACGUACAAGCAGUGGGAGCACCCGAAAGGGUGUGACUGCGUACCUUUUGUAUAAUGGGUCAGCGACUUAUAUUCUGUAGCAAGGUUAACCGCAUAGGGGAGCCGUAGG
rnacentral:rRNA from 1 species